rnacentral:lncRNA from 1 species
UUUUAAUUGGAUUUGGUGUGAUUACCUUGAGUGUCAACCUUUUUGAACUAAUUACGCUGGACAAGAAAUUAUAGAUCACAAUAAUCAUAUAUAUUAUACCGCAUAUAGCGGUUGCUGGUAUGUAGCACCGUUACACGUACAGAAGCUGAUAUUAUUUUUAUUACAAAGAGGCAGCAAAGUUGUUAGUUUAAAUGUGGGAGGACUGUUCGCAGCAUCUUUAAACUGCUUUGCUUCCUUAGCAAGUGCAUCGGUAUCUUAUUUCACUUUUAUAUAUUCUACACAUUAA